AUACUUACCUGGCAGGGGUGACACCAUGAUCAAGCAGGUGGUUUGCCCAAGGUGAGGCUCUGUCAUUGCACUCUGACCGUGCUGACCCUUGUGAAUUCCCCAAAUGUGGGAAUCUCAACUGCAUAAUUUGUGGUAGUGGGGGACUGCGUUCGCGCUCUCCCCUG
ensembl:snRNA U1 U1 spliceosomal RNA